UAAAUUGUUCAUUAAUUGUGAACUGGAAUGAAGGAAAAAAUGAUGUAAAACUGUCUUAAAAUUAUAGAUUGAAUUUAAAUUUUUUGUAAAAUGCAAAAAUAAAAUUUAGGGACAAGAAGACCCUAUAAAGCUUUUUUGAUAUCAUAUAAAAUAUAUUUAUAAGAAUCAAUUUGAUUGGGGCAAUAAUUUAUUAAUAAUAAAUAUAAAUUUAAUUAUAAUAAGAAAAUUUAUAAUAUAAUGAUCCAUUAUUAAUGAAAAAUGGGUAAGUUACUUUAGGGAUAACAGGAUAAUUUUUAUUAGAAAGUACUUAUUAAUAAUAAAGUUUAUUACCUCGAUGUUGAAUUAAUUUAAUAUGAUAGUGAAGUUGCUAUCUGUAUUGACUGUUCGUCAAUUAAAUAAUUACAUGAUCUGAGUUC
rnacentral:rRNA from 1 species